GUAAAUAAUAAAGGGCGUAUGGUGGAUGCCUAGGCUCUCAGAGGCGAUGAAGGACGUGAUAAGCUGCGAAAAGCUCCGUUUAGGUGCAAAUAACCUUUGAUGCGGAGAUCUCCGAAUGGGAUAACCCAAUAUGUUGAAGACAUAUUAUACCGUAAGGUAGGCAAACGCAGGGAACUGAAACAUCUAAGUACCUGCAGGAGAAGAAAACAAACGUGAUUCCCCCAGUAGCGGCGAGCGACCGGGGAAAAGCCCAAACCGUUAUUGUUUCGGCAGUAGCGGGGUAGUAGGACUGCGACAUUGAUGAAAUAAAUGAAAUGGAACACUUUGGAAAAUGUGAUCACAGAGGGUGAUAAUCCCGUACAUGCAAGUUUAUGAAUCAUAGCAGUAUCCUGAGUAAGUCGGGACACGUGUAAUCCUGACCGAAUCCGCCGGGACCAUCCGGCAAGGCUAAAUACUCCUGAGAGACCGAUAGUGAACCAGUACCGUGAGGGAAAGGUGAAAAGCACUUCGAACAGAAGAGUGAAAUAGUCCCUGAACCCAUACGCCUACAAGCAGUCGGAGCCGCUUCGUGCGGUGACGGCGUGCCUUUUGCAUAAUGAGCCUACGAGUUACUCAUCACCAGCGAGGUUAAGUACUUCAGGUACGUAAGCCGAAGCGAAAGCGAGUCUGAAUAGGGCGUCAAGUUGGUGGUGGUAGACGCGAAACCUUAGUGAUCUACCCAUGGGCAGGGUGAAGGUUUGGUAACACAAACUGGAGGCCCGAACCGGUAAACGUUGAAAAGUUUUCGGAUGACCUGUGGGUAGGGGUGAAAGGCCAAUCAAACUGGGAAAUAGCUCGUACUCUCCGAAAUGCAUUUAGGUGCAGCCUCUGUUGUUUUGUUCUAGAGGUAGAGCUACUGAUUGGAUGCGAGGGCUUCACCGCCUAUCAAAUCCGGCCAAACUCCGAAUGCUAGAACAUGAAGACAGGGAGUGAGCCAGCGGGUGCUAAGGUCCGUUGACGAAAGAGGGAGAACUCAGACCAUCAGCUAAGGUCCCCAAUUAUAUGCUAAGUUGGAAUAAAAACGGGGUGGGACUGCUUAGACAGCUAGGAUGUUGGCUUGGAAGCAGCCAUUCAUUUAAAGAGUGCGUAACAGCUCACUAGUCGAGCGGUCCUGCAUGGAUAAUACGCGGGCAUAAGCAUAUAACCGAAGCUAUGGGAUUGUAGAUGAUACAAUCGGUAGGAGAGCAUUCCAUUCAGCAUAGAAGCAGUACCGUGAGGUAUUGUGGAGCGGAUGGAAAAGCAAAUGUAGGCAUAAGUAACGAUAAUGCGGGUGAGAACCCCGCACGCCGAAAGAUCAAGGAUUCCCCGGCAAUGUCAAUCAUCCGGGGGUAAGUCGGAUCCUAAGGGUAAGCCGAGUGGCGAUCCCGAUGGUAAACAGGUUAAUAUUCCUGUACUGAUCAUAACUGCGAUGCAGCGACGCAGAGGUGACACUGCUGCGUACUGACGGAAUAGUACGUUGAAACCCGUAUUCUUUGAUACCGGUAGUGAAGCACGCCGGUAGAGAUGAAAGGUGAUAGUACCGCAAUGCUUCGGUUGCGCGGAUAAUGCAGGUAAGCUGACUGCCAAGAAAACCUGCUAAGCUUCAGGUAAUGAUCAUCCGUACUGUAAACGGACACACGUGAUCAGGUAGAAAAUACUAAGGCGCUCGAGAGAUUCAUGGUUAAGGAACUAGGCAAAAUGGUCCUGUAACUUCGGGAUAAAGGACGCUCUUGUGAAAGAGCCGCAGAUAAUAGGCCCAGGCGACUGUUUACCAAAAACACAUGGCUAUGCUAAUUCGCAAGAAGAUGUAUAUGGCCUGACACCUGCCCGGUGCCGGAAGGUUAAGAGGAGAGCUCAGAGGUAACUCGAAGGUUUGAAUUGAAGCCCCGGUAAACGGCGGCCGUAACUAUAACGGUCCUAAGGUAGCGAAAUUCCUUGUCGGGUAAGUUCCGACCUGCACGAAUGGUGUAACGAUCUGGGUACUGUCUCAACCAUGAGCUCGGUGAAAUUGUAGUUCCGGUGAAGAUGCCGGAUACCCGCAACGGGACGGAAAGACCCCGUGAACCUUUACUGCAGCGAUUAUUGCCUUGCAGUAUGGCCCAGCCUGGGUGGUGCUGUCCCUUGUCGCUGUUUCCACAGGGGGUCUCUUGUACGCACUGUAUCAGAAAAAGCGGAGGCGGAUGGCCGCGUUGGUACUGGCUUCCGGCGUCGCGUUCGGCGUUUUCUAUCAGACGCUGUAUGACUUUCUGUGGGUCGAUCCAGUACGCCCGCUGGUGGGUAUAGAGCAGGUAGUCACCGUAACGCUGAGCGAUUAUGCUCAGGAACAUACCUAUGGGGCAAAGGUUACGGCGCUGCUGGAUGUGGGCGCUCCCCGACCGGUGAAGGUACAGCUCUAUGGCGAUGAAACGCUGCUUUCCUGUGCACCCGGUGACCGGGUUACGACAAACGCUUCGCUGCGCAGUGCGCAGAUGAUUCAUGAGAAAAAGGUCACGUCCUUUACUGCAAAGGGAAUGCAUCUGCUCCUGUAUGCAAAAGGGGAUAUGUCGAUCGAACCAGUCGGCCGGCCGGCGCUUGCGUAUCUUCCGCUUUCCUUCAACCGCCUGCUGCAGGAAAAAAUUGCCCAGCUUUAUGAGGGUGACGCACGUAUUUUGAUGACGGCCCUGCUGACCGGUACGCGCACAGAAUUUGACGAUACGCUCUACAGCCAGCUUUCGGAAACCGGCGUGACGCAUGUGACGGCGGUUUCCGGUAUGCAUUGCGCCUUUUUGUUUGGUAUGGUGCGGCUGCUGGUGAAAAACCGCCGCAAAGCGGCCCUCGUUGGCAUUCCGCUGCUGUUC
rnacentral:rRNA from 1 species